UUUGUAUUGUUUCUUCUGUGGUGUGUCUCUGUGUUUUGUCCCUGUUUUCUACAGGAGUGUGCAGCCUGUCUCGGUAGGGAUCUUUGACGGCAACCUGUGCGUCCUUUCUGACUGGCUAAUUACGUGGGUUCGGCUGGUGGAGUGUCUUUUGCUGGUUGGUUCCCCCCGUGACAUCCACAACAUCCGCCGUGUUUUAAACGUCUGGCCUCACAGCAGUCGUUGACAGAGAACCUAGCGGCAGCAUCAUUCUGUCCCCGGACCGAGAGUUGGGUGUUGUAGGAGUGAACUGCUGCAGGACUACAAUGGUGGAGUGGAGAGGAGACUCCUGAUGACAGUGAUCCAUUUCCAGAGCUGGGUUUUGCUCUCAAUCUGGACGGGUUCUCAGGACCUUUAUUAAAUGUGAUGGACUAUGUGCUGUAAUCUCAUCUGUUGCACCUGGCACCUCCCAAACCAUUGUGUAUAAUGGAAUGGAAGGCCGUUAUGAAAGCAUUGUGAUCCCAAAAAGACGUGAAUACUUGACACUGUGUGAGGUGGAAGUCACCGGUCGCCCUUCAGAUCAGAUUUGGCCACCUUCCGAAGUUUUCUGAUGACUCAGCAAUAGUUGGCUGCAUUGAAAAGGGUGAUGAGAAUGAGUACAGGACUGUUGUGGGCAACUUUGUCACCUGGAGGGAGCUGAACCAUCUGCAGCUCAAUGUGACAAAGACAAAAGGAGCUCAUAGUGGAUCUGAGGAGGGUGAAAACACCAGUGACCCCUGUUUCCAUCCAGGGGGUCCCUGUGGACACUGUAGAGGAGUAUAAGUACCUGGGGGUGUACUUUAAUAAUAAGUUGGACUGGACUAGAAACGCUGAGGCGGUCUACAAAAAGGGCCAAAGCCGACUCUUUUUUCCUAAGGAGGUUGAGGUCCUUUAACAUCUGCCAGACGAUGCUGAGGAUGUUUUAUGAGUCUGUUGUGGCCAGUGCCAUCUUCUUCGCUGUCACAUGCUGGGGCAGUGGGCUGAAGGUCGCAGAUACCAACAGACUAAAUAAACUGAUCAGGAGGGCUGGUGGUGUCCUGGGGGAGGAGCUGGACAGUCUGACGACCGUGGCAGAGAAGAGGAUGCUGUCCAGGCUUCAGUCCAUCUUGGACAAUGUCUCACACCCUCUCUACGACACACUGGCACAGCAGAGGAGCACCUUCAGCAGAAGACUCCUCUCACCCAGAUGCACCACAGAGCGCCACAGGAAAUUAUUCCUGCCUGUGGUCAUUAAACUUUACAACGCCUCCCUCAGAGAGUCAGACACCCCCUCUCCCCUGUAAUCUGACUCAAACAUAGACAAUCAUUUUUUGCACUUUUUGCACAUUAUUA